rnacentral:rRNA from 1 species
UCGGGAAUUUUGCGCAAUGGGCGAAAGCCUGACGCAGCAACGCCGCGUGAGGGAUGACGGCCUUCGGGUUGUAAACCUCUUUUGUCAGGGAAGAUGAUGACGGUACCUGGCGAAUAAGCCACGGCUAACUACGUGCCAGCAGCCGCGGUAAUACGUAGGUGGCGAGCGUUGUCCGGAUUUACUGGGCGUAAAGAGCGCGCAGGCGGUCGUCCAAGUCGCGUGUGAAAGCCCCCGGCUCAACUGGGGAGGGUCACGCGAUACUGAUCGACUCGAAGGCAGGAGAGGGUAGUGGAAUUCCCGGUGUAGUGGUGAAAUGCGUAGAUAUCGGGAGGAACACCAGUGGCGAAGGCGACUACCUGGCCUGUUCUUGACGCUGAGGCGCGAGAGCGUGGGGAGCGAA